AAAAAUUCGGCUCAGGCCGCCAAGGCCAGUCAAGUCGGAAAUGUUUAAACUCUUGAAUCCAAAUUUUUAAACAUCCCUUUCGAGCCCUCUUGUCUCGACGGUCCGAACGGUCCGGUCGACGGAGGGGUGCCCCAAAGUCGAUACCCCCCCCUGACUCAAGUGCAGAUGAUGCUCGGAGGGACCUGGAGCAAAUCACCAUGGCAAUAUUUGUUGUCUUUCGGAAAGAGGGGAAAGGACUGCAGGAGCCACCUGAAGACAUUAGCAUCGUCAUUGAGGGUGUGGAGGUGUUGCAUCAACUGUCAAAAGCUGUCCGUUUCAGCUUGUGCCCUGCUUCUGGGAUUGAUACUCAACCUCUCUUACCCAAAACCACUUCAUUUCACUUUUAAAGUGCUCCAGAAGAUAAUCAUGGAGCUUGAUCAGCAGAAGAUGUCCCCCAAGGUCCAUAAUCUGUAUGGCAGACUUCAAACACAAUAGUGUUUCGAUAUGGGGCAUUUCACUAUUCAGCCCCUUUGGAUGUUGGGCCUUUGUUAGCUCCAAGAUAAAAAUGUUAAGAUACAAUGUUGUUUUAUAUAUAUUAUCACUUGAUUGUAUACAAAUGCUUCUAUCAUACAUAUGAUUUUUGGGGAAAAAGUUCAAUUUCUGUCAGGUGUUCCCAAACAUUGUUACAUAUCAGAAGGCCAAAUGUGACUUGGCAUGGUUAUGCAUUUUGUGCAUAUUUAUGUUAAAAAAAACACUGGAAACAAAUACAAGCAAUACAUUUUGAAAGCCAUCAAAUUUGACUCUGUCAUUUUUCUUUUAGCCAACUUAAAAUUGGCCAAAAGUACAAUUUUACACCAAGG
ensembl:lncRNA